rnacentral:guide_RNA from 1 species
AUAACAAACAUAAGAGCAAGUCACGAGA